rnacentral:lncRNA from 1 species
UUAUGUUUGCAACCAUCCUGCCUCCCACCCCCACUUUACCCAGGCUUCUCAAAUCCUGGGACACCUCCUGGGCUCCCUAUGCAGGUGUUCCUUCUAGAAUCUGGGCAGUGGGCUAAUGGAUCAAGUUUAAAGAUAGCUUAAGAAGUUACGGUGAUUUGCAUAAUCGGGCCUUGGUGGAGGGGAGAGGGCUGCGGUUUAGGGAAGGAGCGUGUGCCUCCACCAUCUGUGAAGACAGUGUUGCCACUUGCAGAGCUGAAGAAAGUGGAUGGGGGGAGGGGUAAAUUUUUUUGGAAGUAUUACACACAUUGAGAAGAGUCCUUUUUACUGUGUUUCACUAUGCAUUCAGAGUGCCCUCCCUCUGUUAUUCUCUAAGGACUGAGUAAAGAUCUAAAUUUCUUCCAACUGAAAUUUCCUUAAGUCAACAGGGUGCAGAGGGGCAACACUCCUCAUGGUGUGUAACCUCAGAGAGAGGGCGAGUGUGAGUCCGUGGGGAGAAUGGAAACAGGUACGUGCCUGAACUUACAGGGCAACCAGAAGCAUUUGGUCUUCAUUUGAGGAGCCAGGGGAGUCACUUGUGGGUUUUAGGCAGAGCUGUGGCAUGGCAACAUCUGCUUGAGCAAAGGUUCCGGAAGAGGGAAGGACAGGGGGUGUGGGACAGGCCCACCAGGGCCAAGCAGAAGCGGGGUGGUCCCAGCUUGUGCUCCUUACCGCAGGGACCAAGAAAGCUGGCGUCAAUUGUCAGCCCCCACCCUAACCCUUGGAAAAUCUGAGGGCAGCUAGUGUUCUGGGCCUCCAGGAAAACACAGAGACAUCCUCCUACACACCCAAUUUGGUAUCACUUUUAGGGAGAGGGCGAGGUCCCUGACAUUUGCUCUAACCCAACCACAGAAUUCCACUGGCCUCAGGCUCCAUCUGCUCAGGUAAAAAUAUCAUGAGGACUCAUUCUCCCUGACCCCUCACAGGACCGUGUUUAUGACUUCCAGGUCUCCCCUUCCCAGCCCUGCGUGUUUGGGCCAUCCCACGCCACAGAAUUGGCCCUAACCCAAUGUUCAGAAAGUUCUACUAUCUACUCACCCUCCCCGCCCCCCCACUUCUGCUUGCCCCUAUGGAUUCCCAUUUCCUUGGGAGAAGAAUUCCUACGUUAUCAACACCUUUUGGGUUUUUUCCACCUUUCCCAGUACUUUCCUGGCUAAGGGAAACGUGACUGUCCUGAGGUGACACCAUACCCAAACAACCUCCCCUUGACCACCCCCAGGGCCCUGCCUUUCCCAAGUGCUUCUUUCCCCCAAAUACCUCCUGACAUUUGAAAUCCUGGUCACUCCUCCCCCACUUCCCUCCCUUCGUUCUUCUAUUGUUGUUUACAUUUGUAUUGGCUGAUCUUUUUAAUGAUAAAAAAAAUUAAUACUUGUCAUAAAAACAAUCUCAAGAAGAUGGAAAGAUAAAGCUAAGACAUUUCUUUCUACCUGGUCUCACCUUUCUAGGAGACACCCAUAUCUGGCUUCACAGUUUGGUCUUCAGUAGUCUCAAUUCUUAAGAGUUCUUUUUUUAAAUAUUUUAUUUAUUUAUUUACGAGAGACACACAGAGAGAGGCAGAGACAUAGGCAGAAGGAGAAUAGGCUCCAUGUAGGGAGCCUGAUGUGGGGACUCGAUCCCAGGACCCCAGAAUCAUGACCUGACCCAAAGCAGAUGCUCAACCACUGAGCCACCCAGGUGCCCCCAACUCAUAGAGUUCUUAAGUGAAGGUAAGACAAAUCCACCCUAGCUAGUUUAGGCUGAAAAAUAAUUUAUUAAAAAUAUUCUGCAAAAAA